rnacentral:snoRNA from 1 species
UCAUCUGAAAGUAGCUAGGGAUGGCAUGUGUCCUGAUCCUUAUAAUGAAGGGCCAGGAACCACUGAUAGUAUUUUACCAUGAUUGAAGGGUCUACUUCCAGUCUCUGGACCUUUCUCACA